rnacentral:rRNA from 1 species
CCUACGGGUGGCAGCAGUGAGGAAUAUUGGUCAAUGGACGCAAGUCUGAACCAGCCAUGCCGCGUGCAGGAAGACGGCUCUAUGAGUUGUAAACUGCUUUUGUACGGGGGUAAAUCGCGGUACGUGUCUCGGGUUGAACGUAUCGUACGAAUACGGAUCGGCUAACUCCGUGCCAGCAGCCGCGGUAAUACGGAGGAUCUAAGCGUUAUCCGGAUUUAUUGGGUUUAAAGGGUGCGUAGGCGGUUCGAUAAGUUAGAGGUGAAAUCCCGGGGCUCAACUCCGGAACUGCCUCUGAUACUGUCGGGCUAGAGUUUAGGUGCGGUAGGCGGAAUGUAUGGUGUAGCGGUGAAAUGCUUAGAGAUCAGACAGAACACCGAUGGCGAAGGCAGCUUACCAAGCUACAUCUGACGUUGAGGCACGAAAGCGUGGGGAGCAAACAGGAUUAGAUACCCGUGUAGUC